UACGGAGGGUGGCAAGCGUUAUCCGGAUUCACUGGGUUUAAAGGGAGCGUAGGUGGGUCUGUAAGUCAGUGGUGAAAUCUCCGGGCUUAACCCGGAAACUGCCAUUGAUACUAUAGGUCUUGAAUUUUCUGGAGGUCAGCGGAAUAUGGUCAUGUAGGCGGUGAAAUGCUUAGAUAUGACAUAGAACACCGAUUGCGAAGGCAGCUGACUACAGGAACGAUUGACACUGAGGCUCGAAAGCGUGGGGAUCAAACAGGA
rnacentral:rRNA from 1 species